rnacentral:rRNA from 1 species
CCUACGGGUGGCUGCAGUGAGGAAUAUUGGUCAAUGGACGCAAGUCUGAACCAGCCAAGCAGCGUGCAGGAUGACGGCCCUAUGAGUUGUAAACUGCUUUUGUAAGAGGAUAAAGGCAGGUACGUGUAUCUGUUUGAAAGUACUGUAUGAAUAAGGAUCGGCUAACUCCGUGCCAGCAGCCGCGGUAAUACGGAGGAUUCGAGCGUUAUCCGGAUUUAUUGGGUUUAAAGGGUGCGUAGGCGGUCGGAUAAGUUAGAGGUGAAAUCCUGAGGCUCAACCGUGGAAUUGCAUCUGAUACUGUCCGGCUAGAGAGUAGUUGCGGUAGGCGGAAUGCAUGGUGUAGCGGUGAAAUGCUUAGAGAUCAUGCAGAACACCGAUUGCGAAGGCAGUUCAUCAAGCUACAACUGACGUUGAGGCUCGAAAGUGUGGGGAGCAAACAGGAUUAGAUACCCUGGUAGUC